ensembl:lincRNA 2410004I01Rik RIKEN cDNA 2410004I01 gene
GCCGUUAUUUUCAUGGUCUGGGUAAAGUGGGCCGGAGGUAUAUGACACGCUGUCUGACAAGUACUUCCCUGACAUCAUGGAAUCCGGGUAUCAAAACUAAGAUGUGACUUCUUGAAACGUCUAGAGCUGAGAACAAGAAGGUGGCCGAGGAGACUGGGCAUUAGGAAGGCUUCUCGGGACUUGUUUGGAGUUCUGUGAGGAUCUGCCAAGAUGGUGAGAACCCAGAGCACUCUGGGAAAGAAGGAAGCCAGAGAGAUACAGGGAGGGAGACAGAGCCAUGCAGCAGGGCCGAGAGGAGGAGAUUCGCUACUGUCAGCGGCUGAGCUGUGGCGCGGGCCUUGCCGACUCGGUAACUAAAGCCAACCUCACCACUUGAGAGCUACUACAUCACCUUCACAUCUUUCAUCACUGUCAGUAUCACAGUUACCAGCAUCACCAUCACCACUAACAUCACAGUGGCUCAUCUUCACUUAUCCCUGACAUGGAAUGGAAUGAUGGAGGUAGACCAGAUGGCUGGGAUGAUGGAAUUAAAUCCUGAAGGCUUCCUGGUGGUGGUAGGAACUAUAUGCAGCACAAUUCUCUUGCAGUGUCUAUAUUACAGACAGUCAACACUCCAUCUGGCUUUUGGAUCAUUUUCAAGCCUUCAGCUAGAAGAGCAAGAUGUCCAGGUCUCCAAGCUAUGCCUUAUGACAUUGCCCCUAGACCCCAGGGGAGUCGCUCUGCUGUGCGGUUUGCUCAUCUUUAAUUUUUAACACCAAGCAAGCAGGAACCUUGCUGGGCUUUGUCAUGGGCUGCCUAGACACAGCACAGGGCCUGGUACUAUGAUGAGUAAUGAUGACUGUGUGAAUCCAUGAAUGAGCCUGCGAAAACAUGAAUCAAUCAGGGCGUCAGGACCUGGGAAGAGCCUCACUGACCACCAGAGAGCAGGAAAACAGCAGUGUCCGCCAUUUUCCCUGUGUCGUCUUCUCCCCCACUUUUUCCCCCCUUCUUCUUUCUGAUUUUAUAGAAAUGGUUCUCCUCAGAUUGCAGAGCACAAACUGACUGAUUGAUGCCCCAGAACUAAUACCCUCAGACAGACCCGAGGCGAGAAGAUGGUUAUUGAACACAGCACCCAGGGGCAUGGGGUCUGGGAACAUCAUUCUUGCGCGGUAUAAAGCAAAUGAAAUAAAAAGUUUAUGCCAAAACCA